rnacentral:rRNA from 1 species
AUUGAACGCUGGCGGCAGGCUUAACACAUGCAAGUCGAACGAGCGGCGGACGGGUGAGUAAUGUCUGGGAAACUGCCUGAUGGAGGGGGAUAACUACUGGAAACGGUAGCUAAUACCGCAUACCAUCAGAUGUGCCCAAGUGGGAUUAGGUCGUCGGUGGGGUAAUGGCUCACCUAGGCGACGAUCCCUAGCUGGGCUGAGAGGAUGACCAGCCACACUGGGACUGAGACACGGUCCAGACUCCUACGGGAGGCAGCAGUGGGGAAUAUUGCUCAAUGGGCGCAAGCCUGAUGCAGCCAUGCCGCGUGUGUGAAGAAGGCCUUCGGGUUGUAAAGCACUUUCAGCGGGGAGGCGUUACUCGCAGAAGAAGCACCGGCUAACUCCGUGCCAGCAGCCGCGGUAAUAC